rnacentral:rRNA from 1 species
GAUGAACGCUGGCGGCGUGCCUAAUACAUUCAAGUCGAGCGAACGGACGAGAAGCUUGCUUCUCUGAUGUUAGCGGCGGACGGGUGAGUAACACGUGGAUAACCUACCUAUAAGACUGGGGUAACUUCGGGAAACCGUAGCUAAUACCGGAUAAUAUUUUGAACCGCAUGGUUCAAAAGUGAAAGACGGUCUUGCUGUCACUUAUAGAUGGAUCCGCGCUGCAUUAGCUAGUUGGUAAGGUAACGGCUUACCAAGGCAACGAUGCAUAGCCGACCUGAGAGGGUGAUCGGCCACACUGGAACUGAGACACGGUCCAGACUCCUACGGGAGGCAGCAGUAGGGAAUCUUCCGCAAAGGGCGAAAGCCUGACGGAGCAACGCCGCGUGAGUGAUGAAGGUCUUCGGAUCGUAAAACUCUGUUAUUAGGGAAGAACAUAUGUGUAAGUAACUGUGCACAUCUUGACGGUACCUAAUCAGAAAGCCACGGCUAACUACGUG